rnacentral:rRNA from 1 species
GAUGAACGCUGGCGGCGUGCCUAAUACAUGCGAGUCGAGCGAGCAGACGAGGAGCUUGCUCCUCUGACGUUAGCGGCGGACGGGUGAGUAACACGUGGAUAACCUACCUAUAAGACUGGGAUAACUUCGGGAAACCGGAGCUAAUACCGGAUAAUAUAUUGAACCGCAUGGUUCAAUAGUGAAAGACGGUUUUGCUGUCACUUAUAGAUGGAUCCGCGCCGCAUUAGCUAGUUGGUAAGGUAACGGCUUACCAAGGCAACGAUGCGUAGCCGACCUGAGAGGGUGAUCGGCCACACUGGAACUGAGACACGGUCCAGACUCCUACGGGAGGCAGCAGUAGGGAAUCUUCCGCAAUGGGCGAAAGCCUGACGGAGCAACGCCGCGUGAGUGAUGAAGGUCUUCGGAUCGUAAAACUCUGUUAUUAGGGAAGAACAAAUGUGUAAGUAACUAUGCACGUCUUGACGGUACCUAAUCAGAAAGCCACGGCUAACUACGUG